rnacentral:lncRNA from 1 species
CUCAAGAAGUUUUAAAGAAAAGAAAUACAAAAUGUGUUCUCAGACUCCACUACAAUUAAACUAGAAAUCAAUAAAAAAAAUUAAUGAUUAAGGUUCCCAUAUAAGAUUACGAAUUUCACCUCUAAAUAAAAUAUAUUCAAAAAAUAAAGAAAAAAGCACAGUGGAAAUCAGAGGAUGCUUCACCUGAAUAACACUGAAUAUAAUACAAAUUAAAACUAAAGUAGACUACAUUAAAGUCAUGCUUAAAAAGGAAAUUUAUAGCCUUAAGUUCAUGUAGUAGAAAAGACAGGAGACUCAAAAUCAGUGAGCAAAGCAUCCAUCUCUAAAGUUUAGGUAAAUAAAAGUGAAAUAAAUUGAGGAAAUUUUAGGGAGAAAAAAAUAAAGAUGAAAGCAGAAAUUUGUGAUUUAGAAAACAAGGAUAUUAUAGAGAGGCUUAAAGAAAAAAAUUGCGUCUCUGAAAAAAUAAAUAAAUUUAAUACAUUUCAGAUUAGACUGAUACAGAAAAACAGGAGUGUAUUAAUUUGCUCAGGCUCCCAAAAUAAAAUACCACAGACUGGGUCGUUUAAAUGAAAGAAAUUAUUUUCUCACAGUUCUGGUGGCUGAAAGCCCAAGAUCAAGGUGUAAGUAGGGUUGGUUCCUGAGAAGGCCUCUGUCCUUGGCUUCUCAAUGAUGCCUCCUCUCUGUCCUCACAAAUUAAUAAGGGAGUUUUGCAACGUUGCUGGAUACUGGGUCAAUAAACAAAAUUCUAUAAAACUUCUAUAUCAGAUUAACAAAAGAUUAGGAAAUAAAAUUUAAACAAAGAUAUCAUUAUAAUACCAUAAAAUAGAAUGAAAUCCAGAAUGUAAUAAAAUACAUGCAGCCUUUUCUCUGUGCAAAUGCAGGAAGAGAGAGAAAGAGAGCACUCUGGUGUCUCUUCCUCUUCUUAUAAGGACACCAGUUUUAGGGCUGGGUGUGGUGGCUCACACUUGUAAUCCCAGCACUUUGGGAGACCGAGGUGGGUGGAUCACCUGAGGUUGGGAGUUUGAGACCAGCCUGACUAACAUGGAGAAACCCUGUCUCUACUAAAAAUAUAAAAUUAGCGGGCAUGGUGGCACAUGCCUGUAAUCUCAGCUACUCGGGAGGCUGAGGCAGGAGAAUUGCUUGAACCCUGGAGGUGGAGGUUGCGGUGAGCCAAGAUCACGUCAUUGCACUCCAGCAUGGGAAACAACAGGGAAACUCCACCUCAAAAAGAAAAAAAAAAAAAAAAAAGACACCAGUUUUGUUGGAUUAGAAUCCCACCCUUAUGCCGCAUUUAACCUUAGUUACCUCCUUAAAGGCCCUAAUCACCAAAUACAGCCGCACUGGGGGUUAGGGCUUCAUCAUAUACAUUUUGUGGGAGGCACAGUUCAGUCCAAAACAAAGAGAAAGCAAAAAAACAGAAAUAACCAUAAUCAGAAAUCAAAAGGGGAACAAAACUUUAUAUCCUACCAACCUUUUAAAAAACUAUUAAAAGACCAUUUAUUCCAGUAAAUUUGAAAAUUUCGAUGAAGUAAAUAAACUACUAAAAAUAUAACUAAAAAGUUGCAUAAUAAAGCUUAGAAAAAGUGGAUUGUUGUAUAUUUAUUAAAGUCAGGCCAGAUGUGAUGGCUCACACCUGUAGUCCCAAAGUGCUGGCACUUUGGGAGGCCGAGGUGGGUGGAUUACUUGAGGUAAGGAGUUCGAGACCAGCCUGGCCAACCUGGUGAAACCUCAUCUGUACCAAAAAAUACAAAAAUUAGGCAGGUGCAGUGGUGAGCACCUGUAGUCCCUCCUAUUUGGGAGGCUAAAGUGGGAGAAUCACUGAACCUGACAGGCAGAGCCUGCAGUGAGUGGAGAUCGUGCCACUGCACUCUAGCCUGGGCAACAGAGUGAGACCCUGUCUCAAAAAAAAAAAAAAAAAAAGUAAAUGAAUCUGUAAUUAAAUGUCUCCUCACAAAGAAAAAUCCAGAUCCAGAAGUUUUAGCAAGUGAAUUCCAAAAAGCAUUUAAAGUUACGCCCAUCUUACCUUUUCCUUCAGAUAACGGUUAGUUUUUCAAAGGCCAGCAUAAUCUUGAGCAGAAAUCAUGACAUAAAUAAAUUAGAAAAAUAAGUCAUUUAAUAUAUAAAACAAAUAACAUAUAACAUCUAUGUUGGGCUAAUUCCAGCAAUUUAAAAUGGACUAUCUAAAGUCAAUCAAUGUGAUGCAACAUAUUAACAGAAAAAAGGGGGCAAAUAAUAUAAUCACUUCAGUGGGUAUAGCAAAAUCAUUUGAUAAAAUUGGACAUCGAUUUAAUAAAAAUGCAGAUGUGAGGGCGAUCUGGCUGUGACAUCUGUUGCCCCAUUGGUUGCCAGGGUUGAUUUGGCUGAUCUGGCUGGCUAGGCGGGUGUCCCCGUCCUCCCUCACCGCUCCGUGUGCUUUCCUCCCAAAGCUGCACACUUGGUUGAAGAGGACAACCAUCCCCGAUAGAGGGGGACUAAUCUUCGGUCAAGGGUGUACUAGUUAGCUGCGCUUCCCUCUAGAACCUCCAAACAAGCUCUCAAGGUCCAUUUAGUUAAAAUGCAUGUAGUAAAUUAGAAAUGGAAGAGAACUAUUACUUUAAUUAGAUAAAGAAUAUCUACAAAUAAUAUAUAGCAGUCAUACAUUUAAUAAUAAAAAAAUAUUGGCCAGGCGCAGUGGCCUAUGCCUGUAAUUCCAGCACUUUGGGAAUCUGGGGAAGGUGGAUCAUGAGGUCAGGAGUUUGAGACCAGCCUGGCUAACAUAGUGAAACCUUGUCUCUACUAAAAAUACCAAAAAUUAGCUGGGUGUGGUGGCACAACCCCAGGGAGGCUGAGGCAGGAGAACUGCUUGAACCAGGGAGGCAGAGGUUGCAGUGAGCCAAGAUCGUGCCACUGCACUCCAGCCUAGGCGACAGAGUGAGACUCUGUCUCAAAAAAAAAAAAAAAUGUUGAAAGCUUUUCCUCUCUGCUACAGUUUGAAUGUGGUUUGUCCCUGACAAAACUCAUGUUGAAAUUUGAUCCCCAAUGUGGUGGUAUUGAGAAGUGGGGCCUACUGGAAGGUAUUUGAAUCAUGCAGGUGGAUCCCUCAUAAAUAGGUUAAUGCCCUCCCUUUGGGAGUGAGUGAGUUCUCACUCCUGUGGGACUGGAUUCGUUACCUUGAGAGUGGAUUGUUACAAAAGUGAGUUCAGCUUCCCAGACUCUUUUUUUGCUUCUUUUCUCACCAUAUGAUCUCUUUGCACAGGCCUGUUCAUUUUUCUGCCUCUCUACUAUGUUUUGACCCAGCAUGUGGCCUUCACUAAAAGCAGGCCAGAUGCCGGCCUAUACUCUUGAAAUUCCCAGCCUGCAAAAUCAUGGGAUAAAUAAAUAAACAAACAAACCUAUUUUCUUCAUAAAUUACCCAGCCUCAGGUAUUUUGUUAUAGGAAUGUAAAAUAGACUAAGACACUCUGAGAUCAGAAAUGGGACAAGG